rnacentral:lncRNA from 1 species
CCCAAUUUUACAAGACCACAGAACAUCCCUCUACCUACUCCCGCCAAAUCUGGACUAAACCUGAAAAGAUAUCAAAGGAACAUAGCUUUUUAUUAAGUGUGAGUUAAUCCAUGAACGAUAGCUUCAAUCAGCAGUAAUUUUCUUAACAUAAUUCAUGCCUGAGGAUUAUAUUCAGUUUAGCUGGACAUCUAUGGCACACCAUAAGCCAAAUUUUGAAGAUUAUUCAUGUUAGAAUUGGAUUCAGUCGAUCCUUAGUGACUUAACAAUCAGGCCUUAAUUGAAACACACACACACAUUGUUAUUGACAGUGUAGAAAUACUGACUCAUAGAAAAAUUCACCCAUAUUUAGUUAGCAGACUAACAGUCAUGCUUCUGUGUGUUGCUAGCAACAAGAAACCAUGACAGCAAGGCCCCAAACAGGAACCUCCUGCAUUUUCUCAUCUGUGAUGAGGCACACUGAUGCUGGGGAUUAAUGAGCCUGAAGAUAUAAAGCAGUGUUUACCACUGGAAAAUGUCUCCUACACUAAAAGCAGAGGUAAAGGUAAUUUAAAUUUAGUCAUCCAUCAAGGACCAUCAAAUUAUUGUUUACUGAGUGCACAGGAUCCUGAUGAGCUCUGUGGGAAAUGAAACCCAGAUGUGGGGAAUUCUAGGUCCAUAGUUGCUGCUCUCAGUGGGAUGGCAGGCCAGCAGGAUCACUAGGCAUAUUUCUACCCAUAUUCAGAAAGCUCAUUAAGAAUUUACUGCUUUAGCUGGUACUGAUUAUUCACUGUAUUUGUCUGCCCUCUAGUGAUUGCAGAAUAAAGUCUAAGGAAAAAUUACCAGAGCAGGAUACAACCUAGAUUCCAAGAAAAGUGAAUUGAAGGUGC